UUGGAUCACCUUCACCAACAACAUGUUGUCUGUGGCUCUGCUGUUGCUGCUGGCUGCUAGAUCCUAUGUGAAGUGUGAACAGCUGACACAACCAGCCUCUGUGACUGUGAGGCCAGGUCAACCUCUGACCAUCACCUGUCAGGUCGCUUAUGAUGUGAGGAGCUACUGGACACAUUGGAUCAGACAGCCUGCAGGAAAAGGCCUGGAGUGGAUUGGUUACAUGUGCGCUCGAUGCUCAGGAGCUCGCAAAGAUUCUUUAAAGAACAAGUUCAGUAUUACAGUAGAAGAGUCCAGUAAAAUAGUGACUCUGAAUGGACAGAAUCUGCAGCCUGAAGACUCUGCUGUGUAUUACUGUGCCAGACGAGACACAGUAACAUAAAUAAGCAGGAGGGCUGCACAAAAACCUCUCAGGACCUGAACACAU